GACUGGAAAGCGGUUGGUCUUUCAUUCGGGAGAAGCUGGAGAGAGAAGGUAGAAUAAGACUUUCUCCUGAGGUUUACCCACCUUUUCCUGCUUGUGACUGGAAAUCUUCCCCUCAACAUUUCCCAAUUGAAAAAGACUAUUGGAGAGGACCUGAGAAAGGCAUUUUAAAUCUCAGUCAGACUUUACCUCAGCUCCUGUUGCCCUGGGUCUGAACUGUGGUCAAGGACCCAAACCCAGGGUCAGCCAACCUAACUAUCUCUCAGGGGGCUUAGGCUGCCAAAGCCCAAGUUCCCUGAAAACUCAAGGAGGGAGGGAAAAGGGUUUUAGAUAGAGACAGGGACCCCCCUUUUCCCCACUUUCCUUUCCCAUUCUUUCUCUGCCAGUUAUUCCUUUGUAUUACCCUGAUUUAAUUGACAUUAAAGUAGUAGUUAUCUUUUCCCCCAAGCUGUGAAUCAAGUGUGAGUGAAUAGAUCAAAGGGAGACAUCUUCCUAGGAAGAAACCCUUUGUUCUCUAGCAGUGGAGAGGGUCCAAGAGGGCCAAGAGCAAAUCUGGGAGAACAGCCAUAGUUGAGGAGAGAAGGAAGGAGGGGAAAAAUCUUCAAAACCCUUCUCCUCUCUCUGAGCCAACCCUAAACCUCAGCUGUCUCCUCUGAACCCCGCUUUGAGAAGGGAGGGUCUCCUCUCUUUUUCUUUCUCUCUCUAUACUGAAAGACUUAAUAUUAUAUUACAAUAGAGAAGGUGCUUUGUAAAUGCUUUUCCCCCCUUCUCAUAAGGUUCCUGGGAAAAUAUUUGACAUAGUGCCUAAUACAUAUUAAGUGUGUAAUGAAUACUUGUUCCUUCCUCCCCCAUCACAUAGCUUAUUACUAUUAAAACUUCUAUGGAGAUCACAUGAAGAGGGAAGCGGAGGAUCUUUUUAUGUGUAAUAUUUGUAUGGAGCCACCAUAUGUGAAGCUCGGAUGGAAAGAUUCUGACAGAGGACUGAUUGGUUCCAACACUGAUUUCUGAGAAGAUUGGACUGAGAAAUUCAAAAGAAACAGAAGACAGAAUAAACCCCUGCUCACAAGAGGUUUACA
rnacentral:lncRNA from 1 species